AGUACCUAAGGCCUCCUACACAAAGAUGAUCCUUGUGGGCCAGCAGCAUAGCUGUCCCUAGGGAUUUGGAAAUGCAGACUCCUGGUUCGAAUUCGACAAUCAAAAAGAUUCAAAGUAGGCUGAUUCAAGAUGAAGAAAUGCUGUGGCACAGCCCAUAUCUCUUGGCCUGCCACAUUGGUAAAGCAGUGAGAGGGGGCAGUUUGAUGAAAGACAGAAGGUGAAGCAGAGUGGAGCCCGGUAGUGGAUCCAGGAACCUGUUCACCUGGAGUUUAGGAGUCACAGGUACCACUCUGGGUACAGAAAAGGAGGAGCAUCUUGCAAUUUGCACAUCACAUGAAUCUGCAUCUCCAUCUAUCUGAAAUCAUCAUAAGGAAAAAGAGGCGGAUCAGACCAACUAUAGCUUGGUCUGUGCUAUAGUUUGUGGCUCAGAGUUCAUCUUUUCUUAAUCCUCUUCAACUUUAUGUGAAUAGGAACUUUGAACCCUGUAGGAUGCUACUUGGUAUAUCUAGGAAAUAUAGCUAUUCAGGUUACAAUUU
ensembl:antisense 1700071M16Rik RIKEN cDNA 1700071M16 gene